rnacentral:antisense_RNA from 1 species
GCAGUGGGGAGUGGUGAGCUCCAUUGUGUACACUUGUAAGCAGCCCAGAAAGCUUCUAGCACAGUGCUUUGUGCACAGUAAACACUCCAGCGGCUGUUGACCAAUGAAUGAAUGAAGAUUGUAGGCUCAAAUAUUCAAGUUAUCAAAGUGCAAAGAAUGAGAGGUUGUUUGCACUGGACUUCAAAAAUAAAUAGCCUGGACCUGUAACUGUCUUACACAACAGCUAUGAGCUACUGGUAUGUGGCUAGUCCAAACUGAAAUGGCCUUUAAGAGUAAAAUACACACUGGAUUUCAAAGACUUAGUACAAAGAAAAAAUGCAAAAUAGCUCAUUAGUAAUUUUUAUGUUAAUGACAUGUUGAAAUAACAUUUUGAUAUAUUGAGUUAAGUAAAAUAUAGUAUUAGAAUUAA